AAAAUUAAAAAUACAUUUAAGGAAAUGUAGGAAGCUCUAUGUCCAUGGAUAAUGAACUAAAGGCUCCAUUUCUAGGCUGCUGAAGUGGAGGCUGAAGGCUCUGGACUUAAGAGUAAUUGUUACACAGCAUAAGAUGUGGAAUAUUGCUAAUAUGCUUGGAUUGUCUGACACACUAAUGAAGUUAAUUGAGAGGACAGCUCAAAUAA